GAGCAUUUACUGGAUAUGGCACAGAAGAAAGAGGAAGGGACAGACCCGGCCGACGAUCCCAGAAAGUUGAAACCAGGAGAGAUAGACCCUAACCCUGAGUCUAAACCUGCUCGACCUGACCCAAAGGACAUGGACGAGGACGAGCUGGAGAUGUUGAGCGAGGCCAGAGCAAGGCUGGCCAACACACAGGGUAAGAAAGCUAAGAGGAAGGCGCGUGAGAAGCAGCUUGAGGAAGCACGUCGACUGGCUGCACUACAGAAGCGUCGUGAACUACGCGCUGCGGGUAUCAAGACGCGUUUGAAGUACGGGACCCGUCGUAAUCGUCCGAUCGAUUAUAACAACGAGAUUCCGUUCGAGAAGAAACCAUCUCAGGGAUUCUACGAUACUGCGUCGGAGGUUUAUGACAAAAAUGAUCCCGACUUCAAGCGACUGCGAAUGGACCAGAUGGAUCUGAAGAGGAGGGAUGAAGCAGAAAACAAAGAGAGGAACAAGGAUAAGAAAGUGAUGAAACAGAGAAAGGAAAAUGAUAUUCCACAGGAGUUGUUGAAUAACGACGAGCCUGCUAGGAAACGAUCUAAGCUGGUUCUACCUUCUCCUCAGAUCUCGGAUAUAGAGAUGGAACAGAUUGUCAAGCUGGGACGACAUAGUGAGGCAGCCAGGGAUGCCGUUAUUGAUGGAGACUCUAAUAGAGCAUCAGAUACACUACUAUCUGACUACUCCGUCACUCCUGGAGCUGCACUUAGGACUCCCAGGACUCCUAUGGUUCAGGACAAGAUUCUGCAGGAGGCUCAGAACAUCAUGGCUCUGCAGAAUACUGACACUCCUUUGAAGGGAGGACUCAACACUCCCCUUCACAAUGAGGGUGGGGACUUCAGUAGCAUGACCCCCAGCAGGGAAAUCGUAGCCACGCCCAACACCGUCCUGACCACGCCCUACAGGACCCGAGACGGGCAGGUGGGCCUGACCCCUGGCCAAACCCCUGGAAGAACACCAGGUGCCACACCCACACCUGGAGCCACGCCCAUCAGAGACAAGCUUGCAAUUAAUCCUGACGAAUCUGUUGAAGGGUUUGAUGGCGGGAAUCUGUCCAGAAGAGAGAACACUGCUGAGCUGAAGAUGGGAUUGAGCUCCCUCCCAACUCCGAAGAACGACUACGAGAUUGUGGUGCCUGAGGAUGGUGAUGAUGCUGUUGAGAUGCAGGACGAUGACAACACGUAUAUAGAAGAUCAGAGUGAUGUUGACAAGCGCGCAGCAGAGAUUGCACGGCUAGCAAGGGAGGCUGCGCUAGCUAAGCGCAGCAGUGCUGUUAAGCGAAACAUGCCGCGUCCACUUGAGAUGAAUCACGCGGUCCUGCGCCCGUUAAACAGCGAUCCACCUCUAACAGAUCUACAGAGAGCGGAGGAGAUGAUCAAGAGGGAGAUGUUGGUAAUGAUGCACUACGAUGCCCUGGAGACACCAGCUCUAAACCAACAGGGGAAUGCAGGAAAGAAAGGUGAACGCGGCAUUGUCGGUGAGGCUGUACAUAGAGGAUAUCUGGACCGGCAUCCAUACAGAGAAUACGAACAGGAGGACCUACAACAAGCAAAGGUACUACUGGAGCGUGAAAUGGAGAUUGUUAAGACAGGAAUGCAACAUGGAGAUCUAUCUCUGGAUGCAUACACACAGGUGUGGGAGGAGUGCUUGGCCCAAGUUCUUUAUCUACCCUCUCAGCAACGAUACACCAGGGCAAACCUGGCGAGCAAGAAGGACAGAAUUGAGUCUCUGGAGAAAAGGUUGGAUACGAAUAGAACUCACAUGACCAAGGAGGCAAAGCGAGCAGCAAAGGUUGAGAAAAAGUUGAAAAUUCUGACCGGAGGCUAUCAAAGCAGAGCUGCAGGUCUCAUCAAACAACUGACAGAUGCCGCGGACCAGCUUGAGCAGAGUAGGCUUGAACUCUCCACCUUUAAACAACUUAAAAUUUCUGAAACUGUUGCUAUCCCCAGACGAUUGGAGACAAUCACAGAGGAUGUGAACCUGCAGAGGACUCGUGAGAGAGAACUGCAGAGUAAAUAUAGAGAUAUGGUAUUCAAGCUGGAAGAGGCAAAACAGGGCAGGCUAGUUACCGAGACUCCCCAAGAAAGGCUAAUGGAAGUGGAAGCAUGAUCCUUAUCAAGACCUUAUAAAUCCAUCAAGAACAAUAUUUCAUUAUUUAAAUAAUGUUUUUUAUGUUUAAACUUAAACAAUUUUCAUGCAAUUAAUAUUCACUUAAGUAGUUUUGUAUUGGUUUUCCUUGCAUUUUCAUUGUUCAUUUUCCUCCACAUUUUUUUUUACAUUAUGCGUAUGAAACGUUCAAUUUGGAUUGAAACUCAUAGAUUAUACUUGAAGUUCAAAAGAUGUACUCUUAACUCUUAAAGCGACUUUGCUUUAACCCGUAGAAGCUGGACAUUGCUGGUUGCAUUGCUCUAAUAUGCCUUUGUCCGGUUUGAGGGACAAUGGAAAAAGUUUCAUGAACACUUACUUCCACCACAAUUUCUCAUCUCUGUAAUCUGUGGAUUGAAAAAUCAGUUCUUGCAUUGGGUUCUUUGUGAGUUCUAAUAUGAAGCAAGGCAUAAAAGAAAAUUGUUUUCAGA
rnacentral:misc_RNA from 1 species